UACGAGGGGUGCAAGCGUUGCUCGGAAUUAUUGGGCGUAAAGGGUAGGUAGGUGGUCUCAUUUGUCAGGGGUGAAAGCCUUGGGCUUAACCUAAGAAGUGCCCCUGAAACGGUGAGACUGGAGUCCUGGAGAGGGUAGUGGAAUUCCCGGUGUAGCGGUGAAAUGCGUAGAGAUCGGGAGGAACACCAGAGGCGAAGGCGGCGACCUGGACAGGUACUGACACUCAACUACGAAAGCGUGGGGAGCAAACAGG
rnacentral:rRNA from 1 species